GACGGUAAAGGACAAGACAUUAAGCUUUAUAAUUUUAAGCAGUGAUAUCCAACUUGUUUAUCGUUUUGUUUUCGUGAAUUAUUUGCGAAAGGCUAGUGAAAGGUAAUUUAAAUAAAAUCUUUAACAAAUAUCUUUUUAAUAAAAGAUAUUUCAAAUGAACACUAGCAUAGCUGUACAGCUAUGAACACCAGCCAACUGACGCUAUCGUCAUAUAUUAAAAUAAAAAAAUAAAAAAAGAUUAUUCAACACAUUGAGUCGGCAAGCAAAAUGAAGGACGUAAAAACGACAGAGACAACAUCAUUGGUUGGAAAGUGUGUUUGGUUCACCAAGGAUUUGUACAAAAAUCCUUUUAAGAGGUCGUUCAUCAAAAAUGCAUUUCUCUUCGCCUUUGGAGUAUGGUUUGCGAGAGAGUUCGCUGAAAUGGACAUAACGACACCAGCUGCUCCACCUAUAGCGUAAUUAAACUCUAACAGGAUACAGUGUACAGUGGUGAUGCAAUAUUCAGACUAAAGACCAUCAAUACUUGGAUCCAUCAAGAUACUCUUGCUCACUCCAACAGCUACUUUAUUACAAAAGCUCAGCUCCAUCCAGAAAUUUCCAGCAGUCUCUCAACAAGUAUUGCACAGCCCACACAGUCAUGGAAGAUUCCAGGCUGGAAGAUUCAACCUGCAACAUUGUUAUCAAUUGUUAUCAAUUGCAGAGACUACAACUACCCAUAGCUAAUUCAGUACCAACAUCAUUUGUUGCAGACCUGGAAUUUCAUCUUUGAAAGGGGCAUGGCCAAUUUCGCAAGGCAAAUUUAAUUUCCAAAGGGGCAUCAAGGCUAAGCAAGACCAUGAGCAAAUGGAGGCCAUGGCUUCUGCAGGCCUUUGUGUAAAUCCAGGCCUGUUAUUGUCCUCCGAAAUAAUAAACCAUGACUCUAUUACACCUCAAUCUGACUUUGCCUAAUAUCAGAGCUCAUUCAAUAGAACCCAACCUAGGUUUUAUCAAGUAAAGAAACUAUUCAGAAAUUUACCCAGUCAGUUUCCUUUGUGGUUUUUUACUUGAUAUUUGAAAUACAAAAGUCACAUCCCCCUCUUCAGGUGAUCCCUUUGCUGUCGCUUCUUAGGUUGUAUUGUAAAAUAGGGUGUGAUCCCUGGCUAUACAGCACUUACAGCCAUCUGACUGGCACCCCAAAAACAAAGAUAUUGACAAAAUAGGGUGACUGCCAUAGAUGUAUCAAUUGAAAAGUGCCAGCAUGUUAAUCUGAAGGUCGCAAGUUCAAGUCCCGCUCUAGUUUAUAUUUUGCUAUGUUCAAAAUGAGAAGGAGGUCAAGUUCAAUAGUUACAAAAAUUGUAUGUAAUUCAUUUUUUAAGUGACAUAAAAAGGGAGAUAUGCCUUUGUUGUAUGUAAAGACAAUGUAAUAAAGUUUAUGAAUAAAAUUCCUUAAAGAACA